AUUUAUAGACUAUAUGAAAGUAUGGCUAGAUUAAAGAUAAAUGAUUACAUAAAUGAAUGGUUUUCAUUCUGCUCUCCCUUUUCCUCCAGUCUUUGUCCAAAUUUCAUCAGUUCUUCCAAAUCCUCUUUGAAUGCAACUCUGUAUAGGUAUAUUCUUGCUGUGUGCAGAUCAUUUGAGUUUUUGGUAUUAUAUAUAUUAAUUGAGUGAAUAUGCAAUCUCUCUUUUCUAUCACAGGCUUCUGUCUCUAAACAAGGGCACAUUUUAGGGAGACCUCUUUUCUAUCCCUUUUAUUUCUCCCCCCACCCCUUUUUGUGGUUCCAUUUCUCUAUUGCAGCUUUAUUUAUCUUUUUACUAUGACUCAUUCUUUUUUUCUCAAUCCUGCCCCUUCUGUAUUUGUCUGCUUUUUAUUACUCCUGCCUCUUUUAAUUCUUAAUACCACUUAAAACUUGUUUCCCCGUCACCUGGUCUUUCUGUUUUUCUUCUUUCUGCUUGACUUUCUCCUCUGUUUGUCACCACCCUUCUCCUUGCCCUCAAGGUACAGAGCAGGAUUAGGUCUAGGAGGAGCCCAGCUGGGGCAGGGGUGGAGCCACCUGUUCACUGCUCCAGGAUUCAGAACCUGACUGGGAAGGAUCGGCUGCUCAAGGGUAGCUGGGACUGAAAUCCCUAUGGCCUUUCUGCUAGAGGCUAGCAUUCUGGAGGACAGUUGGGACUUGAUUUUUCCUGCAAUACAGUGGAUACAAUUUGUCAUGGCUACUCUGAGUGUUAUAGGUUCAAGUUCACUUAUUGCCUAUGCGGUAUUCCAGAAUGUACAGAAAUCUCCAGAGAUUAGAGCACUUUUUUGUCUGAGCUUCUGUGACCUGCUCCUGGGACUUUGCUGGCUCACAGAGACACUUCUCUAUGGAGCUUCAGUAGCAAAUAAGGACAUCAUCUGCUAUAACCUACAAGCAGUUGCACAGGUAUUCUACAUUUCUUCAUUUCUCUGCACCGUCAAUUACAUCUGGUAUUUGUACACAGAGCUGAGGAUGAAACACACCCAGAGUGGGCAGAGCCCAUCUCCACUGAUGAUAGAUUAUACUUGUCGAGUUGGUCAAAUGGCCCUCGUUUUCUCAAGCCUGAUACCUCUACUAUUGAUGACACCUGUAUUCUGUCUGGGCAAUACUAGUGAAUGUUUCCAAAACUUCAGCCAGAACCACAAGUGUAUCCUGAUGCACUCACCACCAUCAUCCAUGGCUGAACUCCUACCUUCUGCCGACAUGUCUGUCUGUAGCAUACUUUAUUUUUAUGGUGUCACCAUUUUCCUGGGCAGCUUUGUACUCAGCCUCCUUACCAUUAUGGUCUUACUUAUCCAAGCCCAGAUAUUGUAUAAGAAGUUUGUGAAGUCAUCUGGCUUUCUGGGGAGUGAACAGUGGGCAGUGAUUCACAUUAUGGACCAGAGAGUGCGCUUCUACCCAGUGGCCUUCUUUUGCUGCUGGGGCCCGGCUGUCAUUGUGAUGAUCAUAAAGCUGACUAAGCCACAGGACACCAAGCUUCACAUGGCUCUUUAUGUUCUCCAGGUUAUCAGCCUGCCUUGGCCUCCCGAAGUGCUGGGAUUACAGGAGUGAGUCACUGCAGCUCUCCUGAGAUCUCACUUUUUGAUGAGAGCUUUUAGUGCUAUAAAUUUCUCUCAACACUACUUUACUAGCUGCAUCCCAGAAACUCUGGUAAGGUAUGCUGCCAACUCUUGAACUCUUGGGGAUCCUGGUUGCCUUCCUGCUGCUGGCUUGGGAUUUAGCAUCCCUGGGUCUACUGUCAGGUGCCACUGACAGCUUCUGCUUGCCGGUUUCCUAUAUGCUGAAGGUAUUGUCUUUAUUUUCUUCUUGUCUUUGUUGGUUUAUUUAUUUUUAAUCAUCCUGUGUUAAUGUGGUUUAAUGAUGGAGUGAAGGUAAAUGCAUUUAUUCAACCAAACAUCUUAGCUGAAGUCUGUGUAUUUUUCUUAUAGUAAAAUCUUAAUCAUUCCAUGUUUCAGUUAAUUAUAUUUUUAUAUAUGCAUUCUGAUUUGGGGAUGAUGUGAGGGAAGAGAGAGAGAAAGAAAGAGAGACAGAGACAGAGAGUGAGAGAGAGAGGAUACUGUGACAAACCUGUGGGUCUAUGUACUUUGAAGUCAAUAGGAAUUUAGCCCUGUUUUUUGUCUAAAAAGCAGGAAUGUCCAGGCAGUGAAUACUGAACUAGUCUAAGAAUCUUUGAGGCAAUAGGGCAGAUAUAGUUGUGUUCAAUUUUUAGUCUUUAGGCUGAAAGGAGAAAUAAUGUAAAAUGCAUUUUUAAAAAUUUCUGAAAGUGAUGUUUUCAUUUGCCCUCAGAUAAUUAGAUAUGGAAGGUAGCCAUACAUCUUUGGCUAACUCAGCAUUCGUUGCUACAUUCAGCGAAUUCAUCUUUAUAUUCAUAUCCUUUCUCUCCAGCUUAAUAUCCAAAAUUUAAAAGUGAGGAAUGCAGAAUAGUUGAACUAAAAGAAACUGAUCAACCACAACCUGCCUCUUCUUCCUCCCACCCAAAGACAACCAUUGUAUAACAUUUUGCUAUAUUCUCUUCAUGUACUUUUUUUCAGGCACCUUUAUUCAAAUAUAUUUUUGAUCCUAAAAUUGUCUUAGACAAUUAAUAAGUUUUCAGAGAAGAACACCCACUCUCCUCACACUCCAGGCUCCCUGCUUGAAUUUGACUGACUUGGGAAUCCUGUAUCUUAACAAGAUAUGAUGUUGAUAUGAUUUCUUUUAUUUGACUCUUCUGAGGUGUUCUCUUUUUAGCACACUCUCCUUCAUCCCCUUCUUCCCUGCUAUACACACACACACACACACACACUCUUUCUGUCUCACACACACAUUCUCAUACGCACAUACACACAUGCCCAAACACAUGUGCACAUGCACGUGCAUGCACACACACAUACGGACACACAUGCAUAUACACACUCUCCUUCAUCUCCUUCCUCCAUGCUACACACACAUACUCUCACACAUACGCACAGACACGACACACAUGCACAUGUGCACACACACAUAUGUACAACCUGCAAUGUGUCAGAGAAGGCCAUGUAGAAAACGAUUGUUACUCUCCAAAGGGAAGGACACCCACACUUUUACAAUGGGCAAAAACAGCUCUGUUUUUGUAAAAAAUGAAUUUUCUAUUAGGCCUAGAAAGACACUUAAAAAGUGUUUCUUCUUUUAUCUAAUUGGAACUUGUAUAUGUGCACAAACCCGUGUGACAGAAAGAGCCAGGGAGAGAGGGAGGAAGGGAGAGGAGGGGGAGGCAAGAAGAGAGAGAGCGAUUAAAGGGCAAGUGCACUGUGGCAAGCUCGUCUGGACUCAGCGAGGGGCAGGCAGCUGUGGUGAUGAGAUAGGAGCUUGGAAUGCUUCAUGGUACCAAGACUGUCGUAAGUGGCUCCUGGGGUCUGAAAAAACGAAGCAGAAUUCAGCAUUCCUCUGACAACCACUCAGAAAAUAGAAUGUGAAGAAGCAGGAGGAAGGAAGAUGUGGGGCCAGCCAUGAGAAUGCACCCCGCUGCUCCACGGAUGCCUAGAAAUGCUGGUCACUUAUAGGGCACAGGUGAGGGGAAGUCUGGAGGUGGCAAUAGUGCUGCCAAGCCAUGUAGCCUGCUCUCUCAAGGGUGAUUGUUGUUGUGUAAGUAGUGGGGAAGAUUAUCGACUAGUUUGUAUAGGCCCCCUUUGUCCUAGACACAGAUUUUAAUUUUCUCAGGUGAUCACUUGUUUGAUUGUCUGUGUAAAAGAUCAGCAAUCCUUUUUACUUGAAAGGUCUAGGUAGUAAAUAUUUUAGGCUUGGCAGCCCAUAUGGAAUCUGUCACAGCUACUCAUCUCUGCAGCUGUGGUGUGAAAGCAGCCAUAGAAAUAGGUAAUAAAGGAUUGGGGCAGAGUUCCAAAGUACUUUUAUGAACACUGAAAAUUGCAUUUUAUAUAAUUUUUUACAUGUCCCAAAAUAUUAUUACUCUUUUGAAUUCUUUCAGCCAUUUUAAAAGGUAGAAACCAUUCGUAGCUCAUGAGCUGUAUGUAAGAGACCACAGGCAGGAAUUGGUGGAUGGGCCAUGGUUGCCCAAACCCUGUGUCCAAAUCAUGGCAUUGUCCAGGCAGAAGGGAUCUCUGACACUCUCUUUUUUUCUCUUUCCUUCUUUUCAGUUUCUCAUUGUGCUGAUUUGGAAACCAGAAAUCGAAAGCUCAGGGAAGAGGACCAUUUCUGACUUAACCCGUUAGUGGCAGUGUUAGGAUAAAAUCCCAGGUCUCAAGGAGCACUUCUUACAGCCUAGACCAAGAUUGAAUGCCUCUUUUGUGAUUGCAGAAGGCAUACCAUGCUCUGGUACACUAGCUCCUUAGGGUCACCCUGAAUCUGAAACUUAGUUCUUUGUAAAGUCUUUUGUUCUAUGAUUCUUCAGUGCAUCAUUUACUAAUUUGCGCCAGUUACUCUGUUUAACACAACUGAGAUAUAGACAUAAGCAAAGUUGCUGCCCUUUAGGAACUCACUUCUUCAGGGCCUGGUUUUGAUAAUCCAGACAAAACUACUUAAAUGUAGUUUUACCCUUAAAAGCAAAAUCUGCUGCACAUAUGUAAGUUACAAUAAUAAUUAGAAUUUAGAGAAGUCCAUUCUUGAAACAAGAAGGCAAAGAGAAUAAAAAAUAAACGUCAAAGUCACCCUCUGACUGUGUGUUGGUUUUAAAACAACAAGACUAUUAUUUUAAGUGAACACACAAGAAAUUUUGCUACCAAGCGAGUACAAUUUAUACCAGGUGAUACAUCAAUUCCUCUGAUUCCAGACAUUUUUGAAAGUGCCCUUACUACCUACAUUACUUCCUUCUGUAAAGCUCUACUGAUUAAGUCUUUAUCUUUUGUGGUUGGAUUUUUGCUUUUGGAAUUACAAACUGCUUUUCAAGUCACAUUUUGUAAAUUAGUUGAGGUAUCUUUCUGGGCGAUAAUGUCUGAGUCAAAAACGUCCUGAAAAGUGCCUCGUGUGAACCAGUGAGUCAUCAUGGCAAAGAUUUCAAUUGUUGGACUGAAGCAGAGAGGUAGAAAGAACAUAGACUUUAAGGUCUGACAGAUAUAAGUGUAGGUCCCACCUCCACCACGUAUUAGAUGUGUGAUGUUAAAUGAGACACUAUACCUCUUUGAGCCUCAGUUUUCCUAUCUGUAAAAAGGAGGCUAAAGCGUUCCUUGCACUAUUGUUGUAGGGAUUAGAGAUGAUGUAAAUAAAAAUGUUUCCAGCAUGCUAGGUAUUCAACGUACCUUGGAUAGACUCACUUGGCCAGUUCACUACAAAGGAUAGUAUACAUGAGUAAGAUUUUUCUUUUUUUCAAAAUAGACUUUUUGGGAUUAAACUCUAAAAUAGUGUUAAAUAAAUGAAUCAAGAUAUUUUUCACUUCUGUUGUUGAAGUAUGUGCCUUUUUACGUUUGGUAAUGUUCGAAUUUUUUACAGAAGUUGACACUUCAAGUCUGAAUCAUACUAGAAAUACCAUGUUUCAACACUAGUUACUAUUUUCUUUUCUAAAAGUGUCAUUUGUCUAGCUUCCCUUGAAAGAUCAGCUAAAUGUCACAUUAUCCCUGCUUCUGCUAAUCUUUCAAAAUGCUCACCACCGUAGUCAUAACAUUUUCUUCAUGCUCAAGUGUAUUUAAAAAAUGUUCUAAAGAUAGUGUUGCUGAAUUUUUGUUUAAUAAAAAUUAGAUUUUUAAAUAUAAAAAUAUAGAUUCAUUAUAAAACCUCUAGAAAACAAAGAAAAAUAGAUCUAAAAAAUAUCUUGUUUAA